rnacentral:rRNA from 1 species
UUCCCCUAGUAGCGGCGAGCGAAGCGGGAAGAGCUCAAAUUUAUAAUCUGGCACCUUCGGUGUCCGAGUUGUAAUCUCUAGAAGUGUUUUCCGCGUUGGACCGCACACAAGUCUGUUGGAAUACAGCGGCAUAGUGGUGAAACCCCCGUAUAUGGUGCGGACGCCCAGCGCUUUGUGAUACACUUUCAAUGAGUCGAGUUGUUUGGGAAUGCAGCUCAAAUUGGGUGGUAAAUUCCAUCUAAAGCUAAAUAUUGGCGAGAGACCGAUAGCGAACAAGUACCGUGAGGGAAAGAUGAAAAGCACUUUGGAAAGAGAGUUAACAGUACGUGAAAUUGUUGGAAGGGAAACGCUUGAAGUCAGACUUGCUUGCCGGAGCUUGCUUCGGUUUGCAGGCCAGCAUCAGUUUUCCGGGGUGGAUAAUGACGGUUUGAAGGUAGCAGUCUCGGCUGUGUUAUAGCUUUCCGUUGGAUACGCCCUGGGGGACUGAGGAACGCAGCGUGCUUUUUGCGAAAGACUCGUCUUUUUCACGCUUAGGAUGCUGGUGGAAUGGCUUUAAACGACCCGUCUUGAAACACGGACC